CAGCCGUAUUUUUGUUAGCCUCGAGCGUAAAACCUUCCUCCAUUAAACUAUAUUUAUUUCAUAGCUUAUUUGUAGAGCCCAACACAGCACCAGUUUUUGCUCCCACAUUUAGCGUCGUAGUUUCGUGCGUACGCAUUUCUUCGCCCCGCGCCUCCUACCAAUUCCUAACUGCAGUGCGACGAAUUGGCGGUGCAGAUCCACGACGAGUCGACGAUGCUGUCGAAGCACACAGAUCCGGUGGCUGGCGAAUAGCCACAAGCUCGUCGCCGUUCUCCUUCCAUCCCUCCCGGCGAGCGUGACAUUGGUACUAUCUAGCUGGUGCGGCACCACAAACGGCUUCUGCAGCUCUAGAGGGCAGCGGAGAAUGAGAUCCGAAUAGGAUUUGAAUACGUCGGGAAGAACUACAGGCAUGAAUUUGCAGGAUGGAGUCGGCGUCAGAUUAAAUAAAGAAAAGAAAAGGCAUUGGAUAGGUGACUCGGAAGGUCGACAUAGAGGAUCUGCAUUGCCAUCGUAGAUAAGCAUGACCUCGCCGCCGCAGGGACCUGAUCCGCUCAGGGAUGUACGCGGACAAGGCUGAUCCGCUCAGGGAUGCACGCGGACGAAAGAAAGAAGCAGAGGAAUUCUCAAAGGAAGUUCACUAGUGGAAUCAGUGUAAUCAUCCUGCAGGUAUUACUCCGAGGAUGCAGACACAUUCUCUCAGGAGAGCCAAAGGUUCCUAAAUGCUUCCAAAUGCAUAUAACUGUUUCUCUAGAGAAUCCGAGCUUGCCUGUGCAACGAACCUAUUGUGAAGGCACUCGAGCUCCUGUGACAACAUGAAGACGUGGUGGUUUCUUGGUGCACGGCGAAUGGUGGGCAGUGCCAUCAUGAUUGUGCAUCGUGUGAGCUUGCAUGUCACAUAGCAGGGCGAUAUCCACAGCGGUCGUGGUGUGGAGGUGGGCAGCAUCGACUAGCGGUAGGGCAUGUCACGACGUCCACAGUGGCCAGUUGGAAGUUGAUGGUGCUCCACUAAAGUUGCAAGCAUAUAAGACGAUUGGCUAUAUGAGAACCGCCCAAUUUAAACUCGAAUUAAGUGAAUUGACGGUCAUGCCAAUAGAACGAGAGUUAACACU